rnacentral:rRNA from 1 species
UGGGGAAUAUUGGGCAAUGGGCGAAAGCCUGACCCAGCAACGCCGCGUGAGGGAAGAAGGGUUUCGGCUCGUAAACCUCUGUCCUAUGGGACGAAGGAAGUGACGGUACCAUAGGAGGAAGCCCCGGCUAACUACGUGCCAGCAGCCGCGGUAAUACGUAGUGGGCGAGCGUUCGUCCAGGAAUGAUUGGGCGUAAAGGGCGCGUAGGCGGCCUGUUAAGUCUGGAGUGAAAGUCCUGCUUUCAAGGUGGGAAUUGCUUUGGAUACUGAUGGGCUGGAGUGCAGGAGAGGAAAGCGGAAUUACCGGUGUAGCGGUGAAAUGCGUAGAGAUCGGUAGGAACACCAGUGGCGAAGGCGGCUUUCUGGACUGAAACUGACGCUGAGGCGCGAAAGCGUGGGGAGCAAACAGGAUUAGAUACC